GAUGAAGGCUUUAAAUGGAGAAGAUCUCAUCCUUGCCACGUGUCACAACCCGAAUGGCUAUAGGGGAUUUCAUCAUCUCUUCCCUCCUACUCACAGUUUGUCAUGUGUCACUCUAUCCUUUUCCCUCUUUCUUUUCUUUUCUCUCCUCUCUCUGAAUCGCAUGCCCCUCCCCUAUUACUCCCUCUCUUGGACGAAUCCAUUUCUCCCUCUCUUCUUCUCUUCUUUUUCCUUCCUCCUCUCUUCACCUCGGUUUUAGCGCGUAACACAACACCUGAACCCCUCCAUUUCUUCCUUUUCUUUUUCUGUUUACCUUCCCCCUUCUUCCAUUCUUUCCCUCCCUCUUCCUUUAUUUCUCUCUGUCGCACGCUCACCCGAGCGUUUGAGAUGCAGAGAUUUUGUGAGAAAGUGAAAACCCAUAAGUGAGGAAGUGGAUUUUUGGGACCAUUGGAGGUGCGGUUUUGGAGCUGGGUGGUCAGGCCACAGUCGUGGCGUGGAGGUAGCGUCUAGGGCAGUGAGUUUCGGCCCUGUUCCGGUAUUCCGGUCGUAGUUGAUGGUGCUGUAGAGGUGCACUUGGGAUAUUAUGACUGAAGCUCGCCGCGACGAUCAUAAUUGCAGGACCAUGGGCGUCAUUUGUUUUAUGGGUUUUGUUUAUGGCUUGUGACGCAUGUGUCACUUGUUAUUGUAUAUAGUUAUUUAUGUUAUGUAUUUAAUUUAAGGAAAUACUUAAAUAGAUAGAUGUAAUAUUGGCUCUUGAUUAUGAUUAAUUUAUGAUAGAUGUUUAAGAUGUGAUUUCCGUUAUUAGGUUUAUGUUUUUCACUACAUAGUAGAUAGAUGUUAUACUCUGAUUUACCAGGUACAUAUUAUGGGGUAUGUACCAUAUGUUGGCUUUACGACAUAUCGUCGUGUCACUGUGAAGAUCCGUUUAUAUUUUAAGAGAUUAAUGUUUAUGCAAAUGUUUUGUA